rnacentral:rRNA from 1 species
UACGGGGGGGGCAAGCGUUGUUCGGAAUUACUGGGCGUAAAGGGCUCGUAGGUGGCCAACUAAGUCAGACGUGAAAUCCCUCGGCUUAACCGGGGAACUGCGUCUGAUACUGGAUGGCUUGAGUUUGGGAGAGGGAUGCGGAAUUCCAGGUGUAGCGGUGAAAUGCGUAGAUAUCUGGAGGAACACCGGUGGCGAAGGCGGCAUCCUGGACCAAUACUGACACUGAGGAGCGAAAGCGUGGGGAGCGAACAGG